rnacentral:tRNA from 1 species
AAAGGGAGACCUAAUUCAGGUAUAAGACGAAAAAAAAGUAGUCCCUACCAAGAAUCAAUCCCAAAAGGUCGGAACGAGGUAUGAGGCUUUCAAACUAGGUUCUGGGUUCAUAAAAGACCUGAAUCAGGAACAAGGGCUAUUAGCUCAGGUGGUUAGAGCGCACCCCUGAUAAGGGUGAGGUCCCUGGUUCGAGUCCAGGAUGGCCCACCUGCACAGGUGGCAAAAACAAGAGAAGCGAGGAAUCAGCACCUUAUCUUAUAUACAUAUAUAAGAGAGAAUGCUGGCUCUGAGUACAGAGUCCAGAGGAACCUUGAAAACUGCAUGGAGCUAGGUGAAAAAGCCAAAAAAGAAGACCGCAAG